ACAUUACAAAACCAUAGUCUAGCUUCAACUCAGGUGACUAUCUGUGAGAUAACAUAUAAACUGUUUCUACUAUCCUAACUAACUAACACUACUAUAUUCGAAGGUUUUGUAAAUGAUGUCUAAUUCGUGGGGUACCUCUAACAUUACAAUUAUACACUAUGUCUCUCAAUAGGGCUGUGUUACAUCGAAAUAACUUGUUGAAGACUCUUGCAUUCCUCUCCAGCCAUAUAGUAUAUG
rnacentral:lncRNA from 1 species